CCGUGGCGUUCAUCUGAGUAGUGCUGGAAGGCACAAGAGGGACAGGGCACCCUGACCAUGCCAUUCUUGGACGGGCCUGUAAGGGGACCUGCAUAUCCUGCUGC